AUUGUUCCUUUAUCUGUGAGCAUGAAGAAAACCUGAUUUCAGCCAGUGUGUGUGUGUGUGUGUGUGUGUGUGUGUGUGUGUGUGUGUGUGUGUGUGUGUGUGAUUAAACAUCCAUCAUCCUCAGGUCCUGAUCGGCUCCUGGAGGCUCGUCAGAGGAAGUGAGUCCAGCCUGGUUGGUGGCGUCAUGGCAACAGCUUCACGUGUUUUUCUGGUUGUUUCAGGACGAACUGAAACCUGAGAGGCUCGAUUUUCACCUGAAACUUCUUCAACCUGAAACUGUUUCUCAUGGCAUCGUUCCGGAUCGGUCGGGAAUCUGGAGGAUCGGAAACGUAAAAGGAAAAUCCUCAGAGCUUCAGCUGGAGCCACUCAGCCCAAACUGAUGAACAUCUGGCUCAGAUUUCCUGGUUUUCCGACCGGAGCAGAAUGAGAAUGACCAGCUGUGGAGACGAGCGAAGAAAGGAUUCAUUCAGCCAAUCAGAGAGAAGAAGAGAAACUGACGAUUAAUCCAUCAUUGUGACGUUUUAAUUGAUCAUUCUGGUGAUUAAUCGGUAAAUUUUUACAUUGUGCAGAUUUUUUUAUUUAGCCACUUACGUGUUUUUAAACAAUAGAAAUACAUCAAAAUGCUACUAAACGAUGAUUUUAUUCCCUUUUAGAUAAGAAAAUAAAUAUUUAAUUUCAAUAGCAG